GACGUAGGGCGCGAGCGUUGUCCGGAUUUAUUGGGCGUAAAGAGCUCGUAGGCGGCUUGUUGCGUCGACUGUGAAAACCCGCGGCUUAACUGCGGGCUUGCAGUUGAUACGGGCAGGCUAGAGUUCGGUAGGGGGAGACUGGAAUUCCGUGGUGUAGCGGUGAAAAUGCGCAGAUAUCAGAGGAACACCGGUGGCGAAGGCGGGUCUCUGGGCCGAAUACUGACGCUGAGGAGCGAAAGCGUGGGGAGCGAACAGG
rnacentral:rRNA from 1 species